UGUGCGUGUGCGUGCGUGUGUGUGUGUGCGUGCGUGCUUGCGUGCGUGCGUGCGUGUGUGUGCACCUUGCUAUGUUCAGUGGGCGUACUAGAUUUUAUUUGUCAGUUAUACAGGUCCAUUUUGUCUUAGCUUUCACUACAUGUAUGUAUACAAUCAUGUGCAGUGCUUACAGCUACAUGUACGUGUAUUUAUACCCUCCCCUUGUGCAGUGAUUGGGUGAGUCUGGAGGCUGUAGGGCUCUCACUGGGUGUGGUUUUGAAAAGGUUCCUCUCUAAAACAGUCAACUCUCUCUUCACCAAUCUCCUGGAACUGGCCAAAGCUAUCUGCACUAGCCCUGCUAACACACUCGCUUUCUACCAACUCGUAUUUCUCCUGACACUGGAAUUCUCUUAUCAAGGGCUCUCGGAUAUACUGGUCUUCCUACACCAGCUGCAAGAGCUUGCUGUGAAGGAGAAAGGCCUUCAGGCACAUCACAGAGUGGUGCUACAUGCUACAGUGGCGGGUGUGCUGCAUCUAGCGUCCAAGAUCAGUCGAAAUGAGGUACUCAAGACGACGCACAUUGAUGGAGUGAUUGCUAAGAGGAGGGAGACAGCUCCGAAGGCUAUGGUGGGACAUUCUUCUAGAGGAGUGGUAGUAAGAAGAAGUGCAGUCAUCUAGACAUGGAGGAGAAGCUGCUCAAGAGGUCUCAAAUCAUGGACCCGGGUGUCAUGGCUGAGCUGGAGUGAGAAUUGGAACUGGCCAACAGCAAGGCAGAUGUGAGUAGUUUUAAAUUAGCAUGUACGCAAGCACACUGUUUCUGUGGUAUAUGUAUAUCAGACUAGUCUUACAGGUUGCAGUAGAUUUGUUGUGUCAUAUCCGCGAGGUACCGGUUAAGCAGAUGUUACAUGUACGUGCCCAUUCAUAUCUCUCACGCUAGAGGUUAGGGGUCACGUACGUGACUGCGAUUAGGUUUUAGGAGAGUACGGAAAGAGGGGCCCCUGUGAUUAGCAGUAUAAAGAACCUCAUUUAGCCCCUCCCCCCCUAAUCGAAACUAUAAGUGAGAGGCAUGCAUUAGCACAUCGCAGUUUGCAACACUCGUUAUUAUUAGUGAGUUUUCAUGAUUUUAGUCCAUUUAUCAUCUGUUGGUUUAAGUUACCGUAAUGCCGGUUUAUCAUGUUUUCCUGUUCCUUUGCACAGUUUGUGUGUGUUAUGUCACUGUGAUCGACCCACCCCAUGCUGGAGGUUGAUGUGAGUUGAGACUGAGAAUGAUGCCCUGUCAGUAAUGAACCCGAACACUCACUCAUGCCUUCAAGAAGUUUAGUCUGAGAGACUUGUGAUGAAGGAAGAGGUCAAGAAGGCACUGGAUCGCUGUGAGG